UACGUAGGGACCAAGCGUUGUUCGGAUUUACUGGGCGUAAAGGGCGCGUAGGCGGCAAUUCAAGUCAGCUGUGAAAUCUCCGGGCUUAACUCGGAACGGUCAGCUGAUACUGCUUUGCUAGAGUGCAGAAAGGGCAAUCGGAAUUCUUGGUGUAGCGGUGAAAUGCGUAGAUAUCAAGAGGAACACCUGAGGCGAAGGCGGGUUGCUAGGCUGACACUGACGCUGAGGCGCGAAAGCUAGGGUAGCAAACGGG
rnacentral:rRNA from 1 species